CAGGGAGACAACAAAAUGUAAAUAUUAAUUUUGUCACCUUAGGUCGAUCGGUAUCUCAGAUUCUUAUUAUUUAAGAAUUUCAGUUUCUAAGUUUUUUCUAGGUCACACCCAUCACUUUUUCCUGGGCCAUUAGCUCAGGUGGUUAGAGCGCACCCCUGAUAAGGGUGAGGUCCCUGGUUCAAGUCCAGGAUGGCCCAUAUCUCUAUGUUGGGGGUAUAGCUCAGUUGGUAGAGCGCCUGCUUUGCAAGCCGGAAGUUAGCGGUUUGAGUUCGGUUACCUUCCAUGAAUACCCCCUUUUACAUAUAGUUGAAAUAGGAAAUUGUUUUGAGUUGUGUCCUAAUUUGGUUUGAGGGAAUUUAACUUUCUAUUUUAUCCAAGAAAUAAGAUGGUGGAAUCAAUGAAUUUUUUUUCAUUGUUUUCAGAGAACCUUGACAACUGCAUAGAUUAUUUUUAAAGACAAUAAGCAUCUUUAAUGAUGCAGAUUUAUUAUUUGUGCGAAUGCAUUAAAUAACAAUUCUAUUAAGCUGAUGCUUCAAUUAUUGAAGUUAUU
rnacentral:tRNA from 1 species